CCUGACUUCUACCAAUACACCCAAUCCUCUAGGUUUUUUCCAUCGAACACAAGUAUAGUAUUGCCUGCAUUAUAACUCAAAUCGGCUUAGUUUAUCAUGGUUUCCGCAAUUUCUGAAUCAUCUUCUCCAUCAUUAGUACUUUCAAUCAAAUUCUAUCCCUGAGUUGCUCCAUAGUUGUCUACAUUGCUUCUCCCAGGUGUGCUCUGAACCAAUUUGAUAGGUACAAACAAAACACGGGUUAUGAAUUACUGUCUCAAAUUACAAGCUGAAUAUAAAGAAUUACAAUAAAUUGCUGAGCAAUUGAGAAGCACAACUCUCUGUUACCAUUUGAUAGGAUCCUAAAUCUGAUGCUGACAAACAAGGCAAUUACAGAAAUGAUGCUGGGUUUGUAUAGCAGUUGUGUUUGUAUAUUUGUUUAUAAUUCUGUAAAGGAUGAAGAAAGCAGAAUAUCGAGAAAAUCAUCCUUUUUUUUGGUAUUCGAUUGAAUACAUACUGAAAAUGUAAACAAUUACAGAUAAAUGUGAGCAUUCAAGAGGAUCACUCUCUCCCACCAAUUUCCUCUUGAUUUCAGCCUAAUGACAAACAAACACCCUACUAAAUCCCCAUACUUGUCCCCUACUUUAACUAACUAAAUGGAAUUAUCCAUGUGCCUUUGGAGCCUAUCAUGAUGCUAGUAACUUUUUUUCUCAGACUUGGCUAUGGGUACAAAUCUGGGAGGGAUCCCUUUCUCUUUAAAAUUUAGACUACAUGGAUACGGCUGAAAUUGAUCCAACUUUUGGACAUGGGUAAGUCUUAUAAGCACAUAUUUUCUAUUAGAAUAUUAAUAUUUUAGAUGCAUUUUUAGGGAUAUAUUUUGACUGUAAACUUCAAGACAAAUAGACAACAAUUUUUUUGCAAGUUACUCUUGCUGAUUGAAUUAACCCAUUGGGGGUUGAUGUGUAGCAUCGAGGGGCUGGUUCGACUUGGUGGCUUGAAAAAUCACGGCUUUUUCAAUGACCUACUUUAUUUUAAAAUAGCUUUUAGUGCUUGAAACCCAUGAUGACCAGGCUUCUUUAGAAGCCUCUUUUUAUACUUUAUCAAUUAGGCACACAGUGUUUCACUUCAGCAGUUCCCGUUUGCUGGGUCUCUUUCUCCAACUCAUUUCUCAACCACGGCUUUCAUCUUCAUGCCAUAUACUC
rnacentral:lncRNA from 1 species